CAUUGCGAAAAGUCAUGCGACCUGCACUUUUUGAGAAGCAUUACUCUUUGAACGCACCUUGCGCGUGGAAGACACCUUUCACGAGGUCCUGUUUGAGCAAGAAUAAAAAAAAGCAAUACCUGGCCGUUUUAGUAGUAAGAUGGCUUAAAAAUAUGCAGAUGGCCCGAACGACUCUAGGGCGAGUGAGAAGGAGUGGGAGGGAUAUUGCGUUCAAGCAUCACAAUGUCAUUCACACGGGAUUUUCACCAUUUCACUGGCUGAUUGAAGAUGGAUGCUAAACCAUGCAACUUCAACUAACCCUUACUUUUCUUCUCAAAUCAGGAUAGAGGACCCGCUGAACUUAA
rnacentral:misc_RNA from 1 species